UGGGGAAUUUUGGACAAUGGGCGCAAGCCUGAUCCAGCAAUGCCGCGUGCAGGAUGAAGGCCUUCGGGUUGUAAACUGCUUUUGUACGGAACGAAAAGCCUCUCUCUAAUACAGGGGGUGAUGACGGUACCGUAAGAAUAAGCACCGGCUAACUACGUGCCAGCAGCCGCGGUAAUACGUAGGGUGCAAGCGUUAAUCGGAAUUACUGGGCGUAAAGCGUGCGCAGGCGGUUUUGUAAGACAGUGGUGAAAUCCCCGGGCUCAACCUGGGAACUGCCAUUGUGACUGCAAGGCUGGAGUGCGGCAGAGGGGGAUGGAAUUCCGCGUGUAGCAGUGAAAUGCGUAGAUAUGCGGAGGAACACCGAUGGCGAAGGCAAUCCCCUGGGCCUGCACUGACGCUCAUGCACGAAAGCGUGGGGAGCAAACAGGAUUAGAUACCCUGGUAGUCACGCCCUAAACGAUGNCAACCGGUUGUUGGGGAUUUAUUUCUUCAGUAACGAAGCUAAUCGCGUGAAGUUGACCGCCUGGGGGAGUACGGCCNCAAGGUUAAAACUCAAAAGGAAUUGACGGGGUC
rnacentral:rRNA from 1 species